CCAGUUGGUCGGGCAGCCGCUCCCGCAAGCGCCGAAAGGCGGCGGGGGAGGAAAGUCCGGGCUCCACGGAGACACGGUGCCGGAUAACGUCCGGCGAGGGCGACCUCAGGGACAGUGCCACAGAAAACAGACCGCCCGGGACGUGUCCCGGGCAAGGGUGAAAAGGUGGGGUAAGAGCCCACCGCGGCCCCGGCAACGGGGACGGCACGGUAAACCCCACCGGGAGCAAGACCGAAUAGGGG
rnacentral:RNase_P_RNA from 1 species